CAGUCGCCGCGGGAAUACAGAGGGUGCAAGCGUUAAUCGGAAUUACUGGGCGUAAAGCGCGCGUAGGUGGUUUGUUAAGUUGGAUGUGAAAUCCCCGGGCUCAACCUGGGAACUGCAUCCAAAACUGGCAAGCUAGAGUAUGGUAGAGGGUGGUGGAAUUUCCUGUGUAGCGGUGAAAUGCGUAGAUAUAGGAAGGAACACCAGUGGCGAAGGCGACCACCUGGACUGAUACUGACACUGAGGUGCGAAAGCGUGGGGAGCAAACAGGAUUAGAUACCCCUGUAGUCCCUGUCUCUUAUAC
rnacentral:rRNA from 1 species